GCAAAGACUCUUGAGGGUUAAAAUGUUACACAAAAAUAUCCCACCAGAUGGCAGCAGUAAUAGUUGAAUACACUUUAAGUCGCAAAUUUCUUUGCUUUUCAAUGUUGGUUGACAAGCACGGCUAAAUUAUUUAAAGGUUGUCUCAUCAACAUAAUAACCAUAUGGUAAACGCGCCAUCUUGUCAUCAAGCUGAACGAUGUUUUGCCACCACGCACAAAGCAUUUUGUGUACGUGUGUGUGUACCUGUGCAGAAAGAUUGCGUACAUGAGCGGGAAAUAUGCGAGAAAGAAGAUAACACCAAAGAGAAUGCAAACAAAAAUCUGAAAUCUUAAUAAGUGUGUUCGUAUACUCAAAAAUUUGUGUAAAUUUGUACAAAUUGUCACUGAAAGUCGUUCGCGUACUUUAUUUGCCAGCAGAAGAGAGCGUUACAGUGCGUGAGAGCAAACUAAAUGCUGAGAGUUUGGCAAUUGAGAGCUUACAAAUUACUACUGGACUUUUUAUCCCAGCAGAAAUUUAAUUCAAAGAGAGUAAAGAUUAUUCUCCUCCAUUACUGGAGAAGUACGAGAACAGACUUAAUACCGUCAAAUCUGGCCAACUAUUAACCGCCUUGGCUGACAAGGAUCAAACUAACAACAAAAACCAAAUAUCAUAUUGGUCAAUUGACAGCGAUCAUUCACAAUAGAUCGUGUGGAAAGUGUUUGUUAUCAACGAGCUGUAUUUUAUAUACAUAUGCAUAAAUAGUUAGGAUUGGAGCCAAUAUGCGGUCAUGAAAUUUCGUAUAUUCCCUUACCCAGGAAUUACAAUUGUAAAUAUAAACGGCAUGCACAUUUUCAUAGGCCACAGCAGGCAGGACAUAGAACCAUUUCUGAAGAAAUUCUGUGCGGAAGCGAUUAUCGGAGUUAACAUGGGUAAAAUCGAUGACCACCUCAAAAGUGGAGUGGCAGAAAGGUUUCAAGAGGGAAGAAAAAAAACAGUUGCUUAGAAAAUGCAUAGAAACCUUAACAGAGCUUCACUUACUUGUAUCUGCGCGCAAUGUAAUAGAACACCGGAUAUCCAGAUUUACUGCUGCCAGCCUGAUAGAAAAUAUUCAUGGCUUUUAAGGCUUUAAACUCUUCCUUUUCAUGCAUUUGAUGUUUGACCAUAAUCUCUUCGAAAUUGGUAGAAGACAUAUCAAUGGAGCUCCAACGUGGAUAGGAGGAAAACAUCAUGCUAUCAAAAAAAAUCACAAUUAAUAACUUUUCUUUGGAGUAAUGUAUCAUGGAAGCAUACUGUGAAU